CGCUAAAGGAGAAGCAAAAGUACAGAGACGGAGUGAGGUAUUCAGUCAGAGCUCAGCAAGGGGCUUAUCAUUCCCUAAUCGGUUUAAAGAUUUAUUCGAAGUUGUUGAUCGAAGAGCAAAGCUAGUUUUGAGUGAGUUGUCAGAUGAGCAGUCCAUACAGCCACCAGGUAUGCAUCCCAAUGCAUGUAAUGGUUUUCUAUUUAACAAUGUGUUUU